rnacentral:rRNA from 1 species
CAGGGGUAGGGGAGCGUUGUAUAAGGGUUGAAGGUGUACCGUAAGGAGCGCUGGACAUUAUACAAGUGAGAAUGCCGGUAUGAGUAACGAAAAGAUCAGUGAGAAUCUGAUCCGCCGAAAGCCUAAGGGUUCCUGAGGAAGGCUCGUCCGCUCAGGGUAAGUCGGGACCUAAGGCGAGGCCGAAAGGCGUAGUCGAAGGACAACAGGUCGAAAUUCCUGUACCACCGUAAGCCGUUAUGAGCAAUGGGGGGACGCAGUAGGGUAGUGACGC